rnacentral:lncRNA from 13 species
ACUGGACUAACCCUUAUAUCUGACCCAACCUACUGGACUAACCCUUAUAUCUGACCCAACCUACUGAAUUACCCUUCAAUCUGGCCCAACCUACUGGACUAAAUUGUAUAUCUGCCCCAACCUAGUGGACUAACCUUGAUAUCUGGCCCAACCUACUGACUAACCCUUAUAUCUGGCCCAACCUCCCGGAACAUCCCUUACAUCUGCCCCACCCCACUGGCCCAACCCUUAUAUCUGUCCCAACCCACUGGACUAACCCUAACAUCUGUCCCAACCCACCGGACUAACCCCUACAUCUGUCCCAACCCACUAGACUAACCCCUACAUCUGUCCCAACCCACUGGACUAACCCUUACAUCUGUCCCANNNNNNNNNNACACUACAGAGUUAGAUGGACUACACUAUAGAGUUAUAGAUGGACUACACUACAGAGUUAGAUGGACUACACUAUAGAGUUAUAGAUGGACUACACUACAGAGUUAGAUGGACUACACUAUAGAGUUAGAUGGACUACACUAUAGAGUUAGAUGGACUACACUACAGAGUUAGAUGGACUACACUACAGAGUUAGAUGGACUACACUAUAGAGUUAGAUGGACUACACUAUAGAGUUAUAGAUGGACUACACUACAGAGUUAGAUGGACUACACUAUAGAGUUAUAGAUGGACUACACCCUUGUUUUAAUGCCGUAUGUAUUCAAUGCUGUAUGUUUGAAUGUUUUAUGUUGAACGCUGUAUGGACUUCAUGGUGGAUUCAGGGACUUUUUUUUCUCUCAAUGCAACAAAUCAUACUGCUGUAACUAAUCAUGACUCUUACAGUUUCUCCUGCCCCACCCAGAGAUGGUUUGGCAUCAAUCCCAAAGACCUCUGUGCGCCGUUAUGUUAACCUGGUCCCAGAUCUGUUUGUGCUGUACAGCCAACUCCUAUGGUCAUUGUCACAAGACGGCACACAACUGAUCUGGGACCAGGCUACUAUUUUGUAGCUUAACACUGACUUGGUACCAAAGCAGCUGUUACAGCCCCCACCCAUGGCUGACUACAGAUAGCAGCUACUGUAAGGGACGGCUUGCUCUGUGGAAUGAAACUGUUCUCUUUUAUACCAUCAAUGGUGCUUGUACUAAAGUGGUUGAAUUAUUGUUGUUGUUCAUUGUGUUUUUGUAUUCGUUUUUUUUUGUGUUGUCUAGGGGGUUUAUUUCUCAGACAAAACCAGAAUAUCACGGCGUUAUAAUGAGUUAUAAACCAGAGUAAUCACUGAGAGUUACAAUGAGACAUAAAUUAGAACUUGAAUGAAUGUUUUUAUGAAUGUGUGGGGGAAAAACGGAACUACUGACACCUGCAUGAAUGUCCUGGAAUUAUGAUUCAGCUUUACAGGAACGCUAUGAAGUAGCCUACAUGU